rnacentral:rRNA from 1 species
GAUGAACGCUAGCUACAGGCUUAACACAUGCAAGUCGAACGAGAAUCUACUGAAAGAGUUUUCGGACAAUGGAAGUAGAGGAAAGUGGCGGACGGGUGAGUAACGCGUGAGGAACCUGCCUUGAAGAGGGGGACAACAGUUGGAAACGACUGCUAAUACCGCAUGAUGCAUAGGGGUCGCAUGAUUCUUAUGCCAAAGAUUUAUCGCUUCAAGAUGGCCUCGCGUCCGAUUAGCUAGUUGGCGGGGUAACGGCCCACCAAGGCGACGAUCAGUAGCCGGACUGAGAGGUUGAACGGCCACAUUGGGACUGAGAUACGGCCCAGACUCCUACGGGAGGCAGCAGUGGGGAAUAUUGGGCAAUGGGCGCAAGCCUGACCCAGCAACGCCGCGUGAAGGAAGAAGGCUUUCGGAUUGUAAACUCCUGUUGUUGAGGAAGAUAAUGACGGUACUCAACAAGGAAGUGACGGCUAACUACGUG